rnacentral:rRNA from 1 species
GAUGAGCGCUGGCGGCAUGCCUAAUACAUGCAAGUCGAACGAAAGAACUAUCUGGAGAAUACCCGCGUUAGCGGGAAUUCCCCUCACAGUUCUUUAGUGGCGGACGGGUGAGUAACACGUUGGUACCUGCCCUCUAGUGGGGAAUAACUCGGCGAAAGUCGAGCUAAUACCGCAUGUGAUCUACGGAUCAAAGCCUUCGGGCGCUAGAGGAGGGGCCGUACGUCUGAUUAGCAGUUGGUAAGGUAAUGGCUUACCAAGGCGACGAUCAGUAGCUGGUUCGGAGAGGAUGACCCGCCACACUGGGACUGAGAUACGGCCCAGACUCCUACGGGAGGCAGCAGUAAGGAAUCUUCCACAAUGGGCGAAGCCUGAUGGAGCAAUGCCGCGUGCAGGA